CAAUCAUAUAUAUAUAUAUGUCGGGAUAGGGGAUAAGGUUUUGCAUGAGAUUCAAGACAUUAACCUACACUGUGUAGCUCAAACCAUCAUCUAUACCCACAGUCUAUAUGGGUCCAGCCCUCCCCCUGCUGAAAGGGUCCUAGUGCAUGCUAGCUAUACGAUUUGGGUAUCGAGGAAGGCUGGGUAAUCUAUGACCUUUACCCAAUAUAGGAUACAAAUAUAUAUAGUGUGUCACAAUCACAUCGUCAUCAAGACCAAC
rnacentral:lncRNA from 1 species